rnacentral:misc_RNA from 1 species
UUUUUUUUUUUUUUUUUUUUGCGCAUAAAGUUGUUCAAAAGGUGCAUACACUAUAUGAUCUACAGGAAAGUCGUUACUUUGACAUGGUAUUGAAACAGUUAAAUGACACAAAUGGCAGCAACUCCAUAAAUUUUACUUCUUUUGCGUUGGUUAAAUGCCACAGUAUAGGGGUGCACAGAAUUUGACUCAAACCGAAAAAAUUAAUCAUUUAAUUCGCAAAUUUGGUUUUUUCCUUUUUUUUUUUUGGGAAUUCGGUUUGCUUCAGUUUUUUAUUUAAAAACUUUGGUCCAUGUAGUUCAGUUCUCUCAGGAAAAAAUAAAUUUGUUAAAACCGAACCAAAUUUUUUUUUAAUUAAUUAUUAUUAGGUCUCAUAUUAGAGUUAAAAAUAGGAAAUAUAAUUGAAAUUGUGUCUGAAAUGAGUCCAAAAUAAGUCUAAAAAAAUCCCAAGAUGAAGCUCAAAUCGAUAAAAUAAACAGACACAAUCAAACUGGUUCGAUUCAGUUUUCUCCCUAAUUCGAUUCAGUUUUCUCCCCUAGUUCGAUUCAAUUCGGCUUGAUCAACUAAAAAUUUGAGUUUAUUCAAUUUUUUGGUUUUUCAAACCAAACCAAACUUGCUGAUGCUAACCCCUAAUGCAGCACACACACACACACACACACAC